GAAUCUUGGACAAUGGGGGCAACCCUGAUCCAGCCAUGCCGCGUGAGCGAUGAAGGCCUUAGGGUUGUAAAGCUCUUUCACCGGUGAAGAUAAUGACGGUAGCCGGAGAAGAAGCCCCGGCCAACUCUGUGCCAGCAGCCGCGGUAAGACAGAGGGGGCAAGCGUUGCUCGGAAUCACUGGGCGUAAAGGGCGCGUAGGCGGGAUGGCAAGUCAGUCGUGAAAUCUCUCGGCUCAACCGAGAAACGUCGGCUGAUACUGCCGUUCUUGUGGGAUGCAGAGGAGACUGGAAUUCCCGGUGUAGCGGUGAAAUGUGUAGAGAUCGGGAGGAACACCGGUGGCGAAGGCGGGUCUCUGGGCAUUUCCUGACGCUGAGGCGCGAAAGCGUGGGGAGCAAACGGG
rnacentral:rRNA from 1 species